AGUGGGGAAUAUUGCACAAUGGAGGAAACUCUGAUGCAGCAAUGCCGCGUGUGUGAAGAAGGCCUUAGGGUUGUAAAGCACUUUCAGACGUGAGGAAAAGUUAAUAAUUAAUAAUUAUUAGCCCUGACGUUAACGUCAGAAGAAGGACCGGCUAACUCCGUGCCAGCAGCCGCGGUAAUACGGAGGGUCCAAGCGUUAAUCGGAAUUACUGGGCGUAAAGCGCGCGUAGGCGGAUAUUUAAGUCAGAUGUGAAAUCCCUGGGCUCAACCUAGGAACUGCAUUUGAAACUGGAUAUCUAGAGUAUGGUAGAGGUGAGUGGAAUUUCAGGUGUAGCGGUGAAAUGCGUAGAGAUCUGAAGGAACAUCAGUGGCGAAGGCGACUCACUGGGCCAUUACUGACGCUGAGGUGCGAAAGCGUGGGUAGCAAACAGGAUUAGAUACCCUGGUAGUCCACGCCCUAAACGAUGUCAACUAAGUGUGUGGGAGUUUAACUCCUGCGUAUUGAAGCUAACGCGAUAAGUUGACCGCCUGGGGAGUACGGUCGCAAGACUAAAACUCAAAUGAAUUGACGGGGGCCCGCACAAGCGGUGGAGCAUGUGGUUUAAUUCGAUGCAACGCGAAGAACCUUACCAGGUCUUGACAUGUACGGAAGUUUCCAGAGACGGAAAUGUGCCUUCGGGAACCGUAACACAGGUGCUGCAUGGCUGUCGUCAGCUCGUGUCGUGAGAUGUUGGGUUAAGUCCCGCAACGAGCGCAACCCCUGUCCUUAGUUGCCAUCAUUUAGUUGGGCACUCUAAGGAGACUGCCGGUGACAAACCGGAGGAAGGUGGGGAUGACGUCAAGUCAUCAUGGCCCUUAUGACCUGGGCUACACACGUGCUACAAUGGCUAGUACAAAGGGUUGCCAACUCGCGAGAGUGCGCUAAUCCCAUAAAGCUAGUCGUAGUCCGGAUCGCAGUCUGCAACUCGACUGCGUGAAGUCGGAAUCGCUAGUAAUCGUGGAUCAGAAUGCCACGGUGAAUACGUUCCCGGGCCUUGUACACACCGCCCGUCACACCAUGGGAGUGGGUUGCAAAAGAAGUAGCUAGACUAACCUUCGGGAGGUCGCUCACCACUUUGUGAUUCAUGACUGGGGUG
rnacentral:rRNA from 1 species